CGAGCGAGUCGGGUGAUCGCGUCGAAGUAUCGACGAGGAAAGUCCGGGCUCCGCAGGGCAAGGUGGUUGCCAGCGGCAACCGGCCCAUUUACUGGGUUAGGGAAAGUGCCACAGAAAAGAAAACCCUCGGUUUAUCUGAGGAGAGCUGAAACGGUGGUGUAAGAGACCACCAGCUCCGUUGUGAGGCGGAGGCUUGGUAAACCCCACCUGGAGCAAGGCCGAAUAGGGGAGGGCUGAAGCGGCCCGCUGACCUCCCGGGUGUCGCCGCUUGAGCCGCAUGGCAACAUGUGGCCUAGAUAGAUGAUCACCCAUACCGCUUAGGCGGUUGGACAGGACCCGGCUUAUAGACUCGCUCAUUUG
rnacentral:RNase_P_RNA from 1 species